UCCUCCUCCUCCUCCCGGGCGCAGUGUGCGCUGGGCCGCAGACACCGCUUCACCCCCUGUGCCAUGGCCACGCUGCGCUUUGCGGCCAACCUGGCCUGGCUCUUCCAGGAGGAGCCGACGCUGGGUCAGCGCAUGGAGGCGGCUUCGCGGGCCGGAUUCCGAGCAGUUGAGCUGGCCUUCCCUUACGCCUCCGACGCCCCAGAGUUGCGCGCGGCUGCAGAACGGCACGGGCUGGAGGUGGUCCUGCUGAAUACUCCGCCGGGGAACCAAGAGAAAGGUGAUAUGGGUUUAGGAGCAGUGCCUGGACGCCAGCCUGAAUUCCGGGAAGCUGUGGCUUUGGCUGUGAAGUAUGCCAAAGAACUGAAAUGUCCAAGGAUCCAUCUUAUGGCUGGCCGAUUUCCUACAGGUGCUAAAAGGGAUGCUGCGUCAACUGAGAUGGAAGCCACCUUUAUUGAAAACCUCAAAUAUGCUGCUGACAUCUUGGAACAAGAAAAUCUGAUUGGAUUACUGGAGCCUAUUAAUAACCGGAUUAGUGAUCCCAAUUAUUUUCUGACCACACCACAGCAAGCUGCUGCCAUUUUGGAAAAGGUGGGAAGACCCAGUUUGAAGCUAGAGCUGGAUAUUUUCCAUUGCCAGAUCAUGGAUGGUAAUUUGACACAGAAUUUAAAGACAUUUUUUCCCAUUAUUGGACAUAUUCAAAUUGCCCAAGUACCAGAACGACAUGAGCCUGAUAGCCCUGGAGAACUGAACUUCCGUUACUUAUUCCAGUUACUGGAGUCAAUGAAUUAUAGUGGUUAUAUAGGCUGCGAAUAUAAACCAAAAGGUAACACACUGGAUGGAUUAAACUGGCUGUUCUCCUACUGGGAAGAUCAUUGUGUGUAAAAAGUUGGAAAAAAUUGAAAUAAAGACCAUUAUAGAUGGAGAAACCAACAGCAACAAUUGCUGUAUUCCCCUCCAGAGGGAACAACCACUCUUUUGCUACUUCCUGAGAUGCAAAGCAUUUGCACCCCAACAUUCUGAAUACAAUAACAAAAACUGGCAAAAGGAGUGCAAAAUUAUGAUGAGAACUCCCAAAGAUGCUGGUAUCCCUUUUUCUUCCUGCUAACAAUUAAUGGGAAAGAGUUUGGUCCAAAGGAAAGAAACUCAUGUCACUCCAGAUGUAGCUCAACACUGCCACUUGGUGGGUCUAGAAAAAGAAAUCCUUGAUUUUUUUAAAAUUUGCCUUUUUCUUGCAUCAUGUCCUGUUUCUACUCAAAAACAGCUGGAUCCGCAAUGUAACAUUAAAAUCUGAUAAGUGUUUGACAGAACUCAUGGGAAUCCAGGCCAGCUGUCUUAGAAUACAUCAGCAUAUCCUAUAACAACAGGAUAGGAAUCUGGCAGUGCUUCCACCCAUCUUGACAGAAAGUUGUUUUG